UGUCAAGACAGAGUAAGCUGUCAUUAGGCUCAUCUCUGCUUGGGCUUUGGGGCAGCAAUACAGGCUAAGGUGAGGAGGUUGAAAUGCAUAUACACUCAUCAUGCAAUGAGGCUCUAACAAAUAGAUGCAGGUAGUUUAAUUAUUAGGAGUGUAGGAUCCAGUGUUUUUGGUAGUUAAGGUACCUAAGGUCAGGAUAUCACAGCCUCUGCUCAGUCAGUUCUCAGCAUUCCUCUCGUUCUUGUUUAAAUCUGUUGAGUUCACUGACUAUCUGAAAGUUUAAUAAUUUAGUACUUUGGCACAGUUUCAGAUGUCUUUAAAACCUUGCUUUAUCUCUCUGUGUUGAAUUGGUCUAAACUUUAUUUAGAAGUUUGGUCCUGCAGAACCUUAAUGUUCCACUGCUCUGCUGAUACAGUAUGUGCUGCUCAUUUUUUACCUACAUGUCUCAACAUUGGCUGUGUGUUCACUGACUGCUUUUUAUUCCUUCCAGCCAAUUCCAUACUGGCUCUAUAAACUCCACGGGCUGAACAUCAACUACAACUGUGAGAUCUGUGGAAACUACACCUACAGAGGACCCAAAGCCUUCCAGAGACACUUUGCAGAAUGGAGGCAUGCUCAUGGUAUGCGCUGUCUUGGAAUCCCCCAACACCGCUCACUUCGCCAACGUCACUCAAAUCGAGGACGCCGUCUCCUUGUGGGGAAAACUGAAGUCCCAGAAGGCAUCAGAGCGGUGGCAGCCAGACACAGAGGAAGAGUAUGAGGACUCGAGUGGAAAUGUUGUCAACAAGAAGACCUACGAGGAUCUGAAGAGACAGGGCUUGCUGUAGGUUGAAUGAAUGAAAAGAUGUAACUUCUAAGGAGCGUCUUCUAAAAUUUACCAUACUUUUUUAUCACUGAUGUCACUGUUUCUUUUUAUUUGUAAGUAGUAAUGUUGUUUUACAGACUGCCCCCCCCCAUUCCUCCCUUUGAUAACUUUGUAAUGUGCAGCCAUUGACGAUUAUAAUAAACUCAGUACGUUUGACACAGUGCUGCUUGUCUUUAUCA